AGGACGAACGCUGGCGGCGUGCUUAACACAUGCAAGUCGAACGGAAAGGCCCGCUUGCGGGUACUCGAGUGGCGAACGGGUGAGUAACACGUGGGCAACCUGCCCUCAGCUUCGGGAUAACUCUCGGAAACGGGUGCUAAUACCGAAUGUUGACAUUUCCUCGCAUGGGGUUGUGUUGAAAGUUUUUCGGCUGGGGAUGGGCCCGCGGCCUAUCAGCUUGUUGGUGGGGUGAUGGCCUACCAAGGCGACGACGGGUAGCCGGCCUGAGAGGGCGAUCGGCCACACUGGAACUGAGACACGGUCCAGACUCCUACGGGAGGCAGCAGUGGGGAAUAUUGCGCAAUGGGCGGAAGCCUGACGCAGCGACGCCGCGUGAGGGAUGAAGGUCUUCGGAUUGUAAAACCUCUUUCAGUAGGACGAAUUAGACGGUACCUGCAGAAGAAGCACGGCCAACUACGUGCCAGCAGCCGC
rnacentral:rRNA from 1 species